GAGUUUGAUCAUGGCUCAGGAUGAACGCUGACAGAAUGCUUAACACAUGCAAGUCUACUUGAUCCUUCGGGUGAAGGUGGCGGACGGGUGAGUAACGCGUAAAGAACUUGCCUUACAGACUGGGACAACAUUUGGAAACGAAUGCUAAUACCGGAUAUUAUGAUUGGGUCGCAUGAUCUGGUUAUGAAAGCUAUAUGCGCUGUGAGAGAGCUUUGCGUCCCAUUAGUUAGUUGGUGAGGUAACGGCUCACCAAGACGAUGAUGGGUAGCCGGCCUGAGAGGGUGAACGGCCACAAGGGGACUGAGACACGGCCCUUACUCCUACGGGAGGCAGCAGUGGGGAAUAUUGGACAAUGGACCAAAAGUCUGAUCCAGCAAUUCUGUGUGCACGAUGAAGUUUUUCGGAAUGUAAAGUGCUUUCAGUUGGGAAGAAGUCAGUGACGGUACCAACAGAAGAAGCGACGGCUAAAUACGUGCCAGCAGCCGCGGUAAUACGUAUGUCGCAAGCGUUAUCCGGAUUUAUUGGGCGUAAAGCGCGUCUAGGCGGCUUAGUAAGUCUGAUGUGAAAAUGCGGGGCUCAACCCCGUAUUGCGUUGGAAACUGCUAAACUAGAGUACUGGAGAGGUAGGCGGAACUACAAGUGUAGAGGUGAAAUUCGUAGAUAUUUGUAGGAAUGCCGAUGGGGAAGCCAGCCUACUGGACAGAUACUGACGCUAAAGCGCGAAAGCGUGGGUAGCAAACAGGAUUAGAUACCCUGGUAGUCCACGCCGUAAACGAUGAUUACUAGGUGUUGGGGGUCGAACCUCAGCGCCCAAGCUAACGCGAUAAGUAAUCCGC
rnacentral:rRNA from 1 species